rnacentral:tRNA from 1 species
CCGUGUAUAGCUCAGUCUGGUAGAGUAAGCCGUUUGGGGCGGCGAGGUCGAGGGUUCAAAUCCUUCUGCGCGGA